rnacentral:lncRNA from 1 species
UCUUUUCCCAUUGGUGUGCCUUGUCUCCCAGUGAGAAGGGAAACAGGCGCAGCUUGAAACUAUCCUCACUAACACCGUUUAUCUUGGUUAGGCCGCAGAGCCUGUCGAAGUUAUCCAAGUGGUCUAAAGGAUCUUCCAGAGGCAGACCAUGGAACUUGUUUCCCUGAAUCAUCGAGAUGAGACCACUUUUAAUCUCGAAGUUGUUGUUUUGGACAGCAGGAGGCACAAUUCCUUGCCUCUGAUGGUGGUUUCUUGGUGCAUCUCCAGCACCAAUGUUUGCAGGCAGAUUG